rnacentral:rRNA from 1 species
CGGUUAAAAAGCUCGUAGUUGGAUUUCUGUUGAAGUCAGCCGGUGCACACUUCGUGCGUUAUUUGGCCUGGCUUUGGCAUCCUCUGGGGGAACGUUUCUGGCCUUAAUUGGACAGGGCGAGAUUCCAGACUUUUACUUUGAGGAAAUUAGAGUGUUCACAGCAGGCAAGUGCUUUGAAUACAUUAGCAUGGAAUAAUAAUAUAGGACCUUCGUUCUAUUUUGUUGGUUUCUAGGACUUAGGUAAUGAUUAAUAGGGACAAUUGGGGGCAUUCGUAUUAACGCGUCAGAGGUGGAAUUCUUGGAUUGCGUUACGACGAACUACUGCGAAAGCAUUUGCCAAAGAUGUUUUCAUUGAUCAAGAACGAAAGUAUGGGGAUCGAAGACGCUUAGAUACCGUCGUAGUCUAUACCAUAAACUAUGCCAACUAGGGAUGUGACGGGUACUCUUUUAUGGCUCGUUGCGCACCUUAUGAGAAAUCAAAGUUUUUGGGUUCCGGGGGGAGUAUUGUCGCAAGGCCGAAACUUAAAGGAAUUGACGGAAGGGCACCACAGGAGUGGAGCCUGCGGCUUAAUUUGACUCAACACGGGAAAAACUCACCAGGUCCAGACAUAGUGAGGAUUGACAGAUUGAUAGCUCUUUCUUGAUUCUAUGGGGUGGUG